rnacentral:lncRNA from 1 species
AAAUUGUAAAAUAUAAUUUUCUAAGAAAACAUAAUCAUUGUAUCUAAUUUGUAUUAAUUUUUAAAAUUUAUUUUUUUAAUUAUUGAUUUUAAUUUUUUACUUUUUUAAAAAAAUUAUAAAAAAAUAAAAAAAAUAAAUACUUUUUUUUAAAAAUUGAUAAGUGUUUUUAGACAUUCUAAAAUACAUCAUAGGAGGGAGUAUAAACAACCAAGUGGCUAUGAAGCCUUUUAAUAAUAAAAUAGAUUUCUGGCGAAAUCACUGGCAUCGAACCGGCCGUACGGCCUCGCUUUUCAUUUGCCCGAGCGGCCGAGCCAAUGGCGCCGUCGCGGUCACCGUUCGUCACCACCAUCUCGAUCCUAUUUUGUCAUCGC